rnacentral:lncRNA from 1 species
UCUACUAAUAUUGUAGAGUAGAAAACUUAUUCUGCAUGUGUCCUUAGAAAUAAUUUUUGGAGUAAUAUAUGUGGUUAUUUAAUAUUUAUAUAUACAUAUUAUUUGUGGCUUUUUAUUUUUUAGACUACAAAGACAGUCGGAUCAACCCAGCAAACUUUAGAAACUAUUUCUAACAUAGCGGGAAAUGCAUCCUUUUCAUCACCAUCAUCUUCUCACUUAUCUCCUGAAAAUGAAAAUCAGCAGCAGCUUCAGCCCAAGGCAUACAACCCGGAGACUCUGACAACUAUCCAAACGCAAGACAUCUCACAGCCAGGGACUUUUCCAGCGGUUUCUGCUUCUAGUCAGCUGCCCAGCAGCGAUGCACUGCUGCAGCAGGCGGCACAGUUUCAGACAAGAGACGCUCAGUCCAGAGACACAAUGCAGUCAGACUCAGUGGUUAACUUGUCACAGUUGACUGAGGCACCACAGCAGCAGCAGUCCCCACUGCAAGAACAAGCACAGAUACCAUCAAAUAUUUUUCCGUCGCCAAAUAGUGUGAGCCAGCUCCAGAGUACUAUUCAGCAGCUGCAAGCAGGAAGUUUUACAGGCAGCACUGCUAGUGGCAGCAAUGGAAGUGUUGACUUGGUCCAGCAGGUUUUAGAGGCACAACAACAGUUAUCGUCUGUUCUGUUUUCUACUCCAGAUGGUAAUGAGAAUGUUCAAGAACAGCUGAAUGCAGACAUUUUCCAAGUCAGUCAAAUUCAAAAUAGUGUAAGCCCUGGAAUGUUUUCCUCAACAGAGUCUGCAGUUCACACCAGACCAGAUAACUUACUACCUGGGAGGGCCGACAGCGUCCAUCAGCAGACUGAAAACACACUGUCUAGUCAGCAGCAGCAACAGCAGCAGCAGCAGCAGCAACAGCAGCAGCAAGUGAUAGAGUCUUCAGCUGCCAUGGUGAUGGAGAUGCAGCAGAGCAUUUGCCAAGCAGCAGCCCAGAUUCAGUCAGAACUGUUUCCUUCAGCUGCUUCAGCAAAUGGAAGCCUUCAGCAGUCUCCAGUUUACCAGCAGCCUUCUCACAUGAUGAGCGCCCUGCCUACCAGCGAGGACAUGCAAAUGCAGUGUGAAUUGUUCUCUUCCCCCCCUGCAGUUUCUGGAAAUGAAACAUCCACCACCACCACACCGCAGGUGGCAACCCCCGGCUCUACUAUGUUUCAGCCGCCAAAUUCAGGCGAUGGAGAAGAAACGGGAGCACAAGCAAAACAGAUUCAGAGCAGUGUCUUUCAGACAAUGGUCCAGAUGCAGCACAGUGGGGACAGCCAACCUCAAGUAAACCUCUUUUCAUCUACAAAAAACAUAAUGAGUGUUCAGAGUAAUGGUACCCAGCAACAAGGGAAUAGCUUGUUCCAGCAGGGGAGCGAGAUGCUGUCACUUCAGUCUGGGAGCUUCUUGCAGCAGUCUUCUCAUUCCCAGGCUCAGCUCUUUCACCCUCAGAACCCUAUUGCUGAUGCUCAGAGCCUUUCCCAGGAGACUCAAGGUCCAAUGUUUCAUAGCGCCAAUCCCAUCGUCCACAGUCAGACUUCCACAGCAUCCUCCGAACAGCUGCAGCCUUCCAUGUUUCACUCGCAGAGUACCAUUGCUGUACUACAGGGCUCUUCAGUCCCUCAGGACCAGCAGUCACCCAACAUAUAUCUUUCCCAAAGUUCCAUCAGUAAUCUUCAAACUAACACAGUAGCCCAAGAAGAGCAGAUUUCAUUUUUUUCAGCACAGAACUCAAUUUCUCCACUUCAGUCAACAUCAAACACUGAGCAGCAAGCUGCUUUUCAACAGCAGCCUCCAAUCUCGCACAUCCAGACCCCUCUUCUUUCCCAGGAACAGGCACAGCCCUCUCAGCAAGGUUUAUUUCAGCCUCAGGUGGCCCUGGGCUCCCUUCCUGCUAAUCCAAUGCCUCAGAACCAGCAAGGCCCAAUUUUCCAGACACAGCGCCCAAUAGUUGGCAUGCAGAGUAACUCUCCAUCCCAGGAGCAGCAGCAGCAGCAACAGCAGCAGCAACAACAACAGCAGCAGCAGCAGCAGCAGAGCAUUUUAUUUAGUAAUCAGAAUGCCAUGGCUACAAUGGCCUCCCAGAAGCAGCCACCACCAAACAUGAUAUUUAGCCCAAACCAGAACCCGAUGGCUAGUCAAGAGCAGCAGAACCAGUCAAUUUUUCACCAGCAAAGUAAUAUGGCCCCAAUGAACCAAGAGCAGCAGCCCAUGCAGUUUCAGAAUCAGCCUACGGUUUCCUCACUUCAGAACCCAGGUCCUACGCCAUCUGAGUCACCACAGACCUCCUUGUUCCAUAGUUCUCCUCAGAUCCAGUUGGUUCAAGGGUCACCUAGUUCUCAAGAGCAACAAGUAACACUCUUCCUCUCUCCAGCAUCCAUGUCUGCAUUGCAAACCAGUAUAAACCAACCAGACAUGCAGCAGUCUCCUCUUUAUUCCCCACAGAACAACAUCCCUGGAAUCCAAGGAAGCACUUCUUCACCCCAGCCACAGGCUGCUUUAUUUCACAACACUACAGGAGGCACAAUAAACCAACUACAAAAUUCUCCUGGCUCAUCUCAGCAGACUUCAGGAAUGUUCUUAUUUGGCAUUCAAAAUAGUAAGGAACUCAAAUUUCUCAGUGCUCAGUUGAAAUAUUCAGAUCAUUAUGAGGAAGCACAAGGCACAGCAGUUUCAAAGCAGAGUGGAAUUCCACCAGCUACAGACUGAGGCCCUUAUAGGCAUAAAUUUCCAUAUUUUCAAAAGUAAUCAUUUUAGACUAGUCAUAAUGGUCCAUGCCUGUAGUCCUAGCCCUUGAGAGGUAUAGGCAGGAGGAUUGGGAAUUCAAGUCAUCUGUGGCUCCAUAGUGUGUUUGAGGCCAGCCUAGAGUACAGGAGACUUUAUUUCAGAAACAGAAACCAAAAAAAAAAAAAAAAA